rnacentral:misc_RNA from 1 species
AAUCAUCAUCUUCCUUGUGAUUUGUUUCUCGAGGAGGUGGACUUGGACCGUGCCGUCGUUGGCUCGUCCUGAAAUGCAUUAGCCUGGUCUAAAGCUGGCCCUUGGGUGUGAUAAAUAUCUACGCCGCUGGUGCCGCGAUUGCUCCUGGCUUCUAAACCCGCCUCCAAUUCAUUUUGGAUGGCUUAAUUUUAAUG